rnacentral:rRNA from 1 species
AACGAACGCUGGCGGCAUGCCUAACACAUGCAAGUCGAACGAGAUCUUCGGGUCUAGUGGCGCACGGGUGCGUAACGCGUGGGAAUCUGCCCUUUGGUUCGGAAUAACAGUUGGAAACGACUGCUAAUACCGGAUGAUGACGAAAGUCCAAAGAUUUAUCGCCAGAGGAUGAGCCCGCGUAGGAUUAGCUAGUUGGUGUGGUAAAGGCGCACCAAGGCGACGAUCCUUAGCUGGUCUGAGAGGAUGAUCAGCCACACUGGGACUGAGACACGGCCCAGACUCCUACGGGAGGCAGCAGUGGGGAAUAUUGGACAAUGGGCGAAAGCCUGAUCCAGCAAUGCCGCGUGAGUGAUGAAGGCCUUAGGGUUGUAAAGCUCUUUUACCCGGGAUGAUAAUGACAGUACCGGGAGAAUAAGCUCCGGCUAACUCCGUGCCAGCCGCCGCAUAAGAC